ACCAAUUACUUCCUGAGAUGAUGAAGACACCACUGCCAUGAGUUUCACCCCAAAGAGUUACCUAUACUCAUCCACCAAACCAGGAGUACGAAGUUUAGCCAAUUCUGUGCCAUUUCAUCCAAACCUAAGUCCCCGAGCGAUGGGACAUCGUGACUCUUGACAGUUCAGUGCCUGUGACUGGGUGUGGGCAGAGAGCAGAUGGUGACAAUGCCAUACUGACUGAGUGUCUGUCUGUGGCAUGGACCUGUGAGGACUCAGUGAGAGAGGAGAAUGAUUCAGGUUAUCCUGAGACAUCUGUCUACUCUGCAAGUCUGGGAAUUAUGGCAGAACUGAUGCUACAGGAGUUUUGAGAUGGAAAUUAUUCAGGGUUCUGGCCAGUGGCAUAUAAACACAGCCUCCUCUAAGAACAG